AUGCUCUCUUCCUUCCCCUGGCAGCUGCAGAAGGCUGCCCGCAUGCUCUCGUGCUCGUGUCUCUCCGAGCUCGCGACGGCAACUCCGACCACGCCGCCCGCGGCCACCGCUCCUGCCGCCGCGCUGGCCGCGGUCGCCCUCGCCGUCCGUGGGUCUGAUCCGGCCAUUGGGGGUCGGAUGGCUCAAGCUCGCCCCAUCCCCAAGCCCGCGACGGCCCGCCCCCUGCCAGAUCCAGUUCGGGGGGAACUGGUUCUGGUUGCUCCGCUGACCGAGCCGCCUAUGGCGGGCCGCAGCCCCAUGGAUGGGGUCGGGGUGGUGAUGGAGCUCGGGUCUGCGUCGUCGUCUUCGCCUCCGACACCCCUGCCUGCCAUCCCUGUUGCUGCCACCGGGGGUGCCGUCGACCAGCUGCAACCCCCACCGCCGGUGUCUCUAGUAGCUGUGACCAUGCUGGCCUCCUGUGCAGCAGCGCCGACCGCCUCCGGAGGUGUGGAUUCUGGCGAAGCUCGUGGAACCGGCGAUGGGUGCGAUGACGCGACGAUGCCAUAG
rnacentral:rRNA from 1 species